rnacentral:sRNA from 1 species
UUUUAUACUCAUCAAUUAAAUAAUAAUUAAAAAGAAAAAAAGUAGGAGAGAAAGAGAGAAAAGUGGAGAGACGUUUCUGGCAGGAGAGACGAUUCUCAGCAUUUAUUGAGAGUUGUCAUUCAACUAAUGGUUCAUUUACUUCAAACUAAUUAAAAUAUAUUAAUUUGAUUAAAAU